GACCUCCUGGGAUUGCAUCUGGAGUGUGGUUAGUGUUCCGCCAGCUUCGGAGAUGGAAGGGAAAGCAGGCCUGGCAGAGGUACCCCUUCCAUUCCCAGCGUUCUCAGUAACUGGUGAUUGGAAGACACUCUGCAAGGUUC
ensembl:snoRNA